UUCCAGCUCCAAUAGCGUAUAUUAAAGUUGUUGCGGUUAAAAAGCUCGUAGUUGGAUUUCUGCCGAGGACGACCGGUCCGGCCUCUGAGUGAGCUUCUGGUUCGGCCUGGUGCAUCUUCUUGAGAUAAGGUAUCUGCACUUGACUGUGUGGGGCGAUAUUCAAGACUUUUACUUUGAGGAAAUUAGAGUGUUUCAAGCAGGCACCCGCCUUGAAUACAUUAACAUGCAAGAAUAAGAUAGGACCUCGGUUCUAUUUUGUUGGUUUCUAGAUCUGAGGUAAUGAUUAAUAAGGAUAGUUGGGGGCAUUCGUAUUUAACUGCCAGAGGUGAAAUUCUUGGAUUUGUGAACGACGUGCUACUGCGAAAGCAUUUGGCGAGGAUGUUUUCAUUGAUCAAGAACGAAAGUUAGGGGAUCGAAGACGAUCAGAUACCGUCCUAGUCUUAACCAUAUACCAUGCCGACUAGAGAUUGGAGGUCGUUAUCCAUACGACUCCUUCAGCACCUUAUGAGAAAUCAAAGUCUUUGGGUUCCGGGGGGAGUAUGGUCGCAAGGGUGAAACUUAAAGGAAUUGACGGAAGGGCACCACCAGGAGUGGAGCCUCCGGCUUAAUUUGACUCAACACGGGGAAACUUACCAGGUCCAGACAUAGUAAGGAUUGACAGAUUGAUAGCUCUUUCUUGAUUAUAUGGGUGGUGGUGCAUGGCCGUUCCUAGUUGGUGGAGUGAUUUGUCUGGUUAAUUCCGUUAACGAACGAGACCUUAACCUGCUAAAUAGCUACACGUAACUUCGGUUACGUGGGCAACUUCUUAGAGGGACUCUGCGUGUCUAACGCAAGGAAGUAUGAGGCAAUAACAGGUCUCUGAUCCCCUUAGAUGUUCUGGGCUGCACGCCCCCUACACUGAUGCGCUCAACGAGUAUGCCACCUUGCCCGGAAGGGUUGGCUAAUCUUCUUAAAACGCAUCGUGAUGGGGAUAGAUUAUUGCAAUUAUUAAUCUUCAACGAGGAAUUCCUAGUAAGCGCAAGUCAUCAUCUUGCGCUGAAUACGUUCCCGCCCUU
rnacentral:rRNA from 1 species